AAGACAGCCUUUGGAAAAAGAAUUCAUGAUUUAGCUAGCAAGCAGUACAUCCUGAGUAGGGGCAUUGCAAGUUUUCUCACAUCCCUGCCACCACAGUGCUUCAAAUUUGUCCUGGAAAGAGCGCAUUAUGGGUUGAGAAAGUAGCUCUGUCUCCAUACUAGUUCAAUCCUUGGCCUCU
rnacentral:sRNA from 1 species